rnacentral:rRNA from 1 species
CCUACGGGUGGCAGCAGUGAGGAAUAUUGGUCAAUGGCCGAGAGGCUGAACCAGCCAAGUCGCGUGAGGGAAGACGGCCCUACGGGUUGUAAACCUCUUUUGUCGGGGAGCAAAGCGAGUCACGUGUGACUCAUUGAGAGUACCCGAAGAAAAAGCAUCGGCUAACUCCGUGCCAGCAGCCGCGGUAAUACGGAGGAUGCGAGCGUUAUCCGGAUUUAUUGGGUUAAAAGGGUGCGCAGGCGGAGGUGCAAGUCAGCGGUAAAAUUGCGGGGCUCAACCCCGUACUGCCGUUGAAACUGCAUCACUUGAGUGCGCGAGAGGUAUGCGGAAUGCGUGGUGUAGCGGUGAAAUGCAUAGAUAUCACGCAGAACUCCGAUUGCGAAGGCAGCAUACCGGCGCGCAACUGACGCUCAUGCACGAAAGCGUGGGUAUCGAACAGGAUUAGAUACCCCUGUAGUC